rnacentral:rRNA from 1 species
CCAAGCAGCCGCGGUAAUUCCAGCUCCAAUAGCGUAUAUUAAAGUUGUUGCGGUUAAAAAGCUCGUAGUUGGAUCUCGGCGGGCAGGGGGUGGUUCGCUCUUCAGCGCUACUGCCCCGCUUUGCCCGUGUGAUUGGCGGAGGUUUCGGGGUGCUCUUCGUUGAGUGACUCGGAGCGCCGUCAGGUUUACUUUGAAAAAAUUAGAGUGCUCAAAGCAGGCUUUUCACGCUUGAAUAUUCGUGCAUGGAAUAAUGGAAUAGGAACUCGUUUCUAUUUUGUUGGUUUUCGGAAAUCGAGUUAAUGAUUAACAGGGACAAUUGGGGGCAUUAGUAUUCAGACGACAGAGGUGAAAUUCUUGGACCGUCUGAAGACUGACUACUGCGAAAGCAUUUGCCAAGAGUGUUUUCAUUAAUCAAGAACGAAAGUUAGAGGUUCGAAGGCGAUCAGAUACCGCCCUAGUUCUAACCAUAAACGAUGCCAGCUAGCGAUCUGCCGAGUUUUUUUUGUAGGCUCCGCAGGAAGCUUUCGGGAAACCAAAGCUUUUGAGUUCCGGGGGAAGUAUGGUUGCAAAGCUGAAACUUAAAGGAAUUGACGGAAGGGCACCACCAGGAGUGGAGCCUGCGGCUUAAUUUGACUCAACACGGGAAAUCUCACCAGGCCCGGACACUGGAAGGAUUGACAGAUUGAGAGCUCUUUCUCGAUUCGGUGGGUGGUGGUGCAUGGCCGUUCUUAGUUGGUGGAGUGAUUUGUCUGGUUAAUUCCGAUAACGAACGAGACUCUGUCCUGCUAAAUAGUUGGGUCGUCCUUCGUGCGAUCCAAGUUCUUCUUAGAGGGACUGGCUGCGUCUAGCAGCACGAGAUUGAGCAAUAACAGG